rnacentral:misc_RNA from 1 species
GAUGAAGAACGCAGUAAAAUGCGAUAAGUAAUGCGAAUUGCAGAAUUUCCGUGAGUCAUCGAAUCUUUGAACGCACAUUGCGCCCGCCAGCACUCUGGCGGGCAUGCCUGUUCGAGCGUCAUUUCAACCAUCAAGCCCCAGGCUUGCGUUGGAGCCCUGCGGCUGCCGCAGCCUCCUAAAAGCAGUGGCGGGCUCGCUAUCACACCGAGUGCAGUAGAUUACUCUUCGCUCAGGGCGUGCAGCGGGUUCCGGCCGUGAAACCCCCUACUUUUAAAGGUUGACCUCGGAUCAGGUAGGAAUACCCGCUGAACUUAAGCAUAUCAAUAAGCGGAGGA